GAUGAACGCUGGCCGCGUGCCUAAUACAUGCAAGUCGAACGGCAGCACGGGGCAACCUGGUGGCGAGUGGCGAACGGGUGAGUAAUGCAUCGGAACGUACCUUUCAGUGGGGGAUAACGUAGCGAAAGUUACGCUAAUACCGCAUAUUCUGUGAGCAGGAAAGCAGGGGAUCGCAAGACCUUGCGCUGAUUGAGCGGCCGAUGUCAGAUUAGCUAGUUGGUGAGGUAAAGGCUCACCGAGGCGACGAUCUGUAGCGAGUCUGAGAGGAUGAGCCGCCACACUGGAACGGAGACACGGGCCAGACUCCUACGGGGGGCAGCAGUGGGGAAUUGUGGAGAAUGGGGGCAACCCUGAUCCAGCCAUGCCGCGUGAGUGAAGAAGGCCUUCGGGUUGUAAAGCUCUUUCGGCCGGGAAGAAAUCGCACGGGCUAAUACCCUGUGUGGAUGACGGUACCGGAAUAAGAAGCACCGGCUAACUACGUGCCAGCCGCCGCGGUAAAAC
rnacentral:rRNA from 1 species